AUAUUACAAAGCUGAUUUGUCACGGGCACGGAAUAUUCUUAAUGGUUGUGAUAAUAGAAUCCCAAUUGGACAGUGGGAGUGGCUAGUAAAACACUGGAGAACAGAAAAAGCUAAGGAAAAAUCUGAGAGAAACAAAGCCACUCGGGCAUCGCAACUCGAGGGAUGCAAGGGGACCCACACCGCUGGGUCACAAAGUUUUGCAGUUGUCCUUGAUCAAAUGGAGAUGGUAGAGGGUAGAGAAAUUGGGCGUGCCGAGCUUUACGUGGUUACGCAUACAAAAAACAAUGGAUAUCCAGUCAACCAACAAAGCGGAGUAAAAAUGGAUGACAUUAAAAAAAGGAUUCGGGAAGAUCCUUCUUUGAUUGGUGAGGAGGCCCGUGAUGGUGAUCUUUAUUCAUCAAUUUUCCCAAAAGAAAAGAAAGGAAGGCCAAGUGGCCUUGGUCUAUUAGUAGGUGGAGUCGCUUCGGAGCGCCUUGCUCAAGUUGAAGC